UGGGGCAAGUCAGAGGGAUAAGAGUGAGUCAGAUGCUCCUAAAGAAAGAGGCUCCUGACAGGAGGGGCUGUGACAACAAGUCCAGCAGGAAGCCCAGAAGGAGCUCCUGCCUGCUUACUGGUAAAUGGGCAUGGAGGGAGGUAAAGAGGGCAGACAGACGCCAACCUCGAAGCCUGGGAACAUGCACGAUCUCUCAGGAGGAGAGCAUGAUGUGGGACAGAAAAGCCAAAGCAAACCCAGGAACUGCCGAAUGUCUGGGGGACAGAAAGCCUGCCCAGGAGCAUCAGAGGUGCUGGCUAAAGGUGUGCGCCACCACGACCAACGUACACGUAAACUUUAAAAAGAAGACAUGCCUCAGAUUGGGAAAAAUAUUCCCUCCUUCUGGGAAGAGUGGAUUUCACGAAGGAUUCCUAUAUGAAUAUGCAAGGAACUCUGAAAACAAGCAGUCCGAUUUAAAAUUGGACAACAGGUUUGCCAAACAAGACGCACAGAGGCAAGUGAGACACAAGAAGACACUCUGUGCCAUAUGUCAUCCGAGAACUAUAGAGAACGAUGAGGUGCCACUGCGUGAGUAUUAGAACGAGCGAAGUCUAACAUCUAAUACUAGGGGGAGAGCAAAAAUCCCCUUCAUUGCUGAAGGCGAAGCAAGACAGCAGGGCCGUCUUGAGAAACGGUUUUGCAGACUCUAACAAGCUAAGCAGUGUUACACCUGCGGUGUCUGCUCAGAGAAGUUGAAAGCUCACUUCCACAAAACCCUGCAUCGAUGUUCAUGGCGGCUUUCAUUACUGCUACUUACAGGCCAGCAACAUGCACUUCAAGACAGGGCUGCAGAAAUGGCUGCGGUUAAGAGCGAAUAGCUCUUGCAGAGGGGCCCAAGUUUGGUUCCCAGCACUCACAUCAUCACGUGCUGCAUGAGUGUCUCUACCCAGUCCAUCUACACCCUGAAAAGCAGGAGCAAGUUGUCCUCUGUGGGACCACGCC